rnacentral:rRNA from 1 species
GAUCAUGGCUCAGGAUGAACGCUAGCUACAGGCUUAACACAUGCAAGUCGAGGGGCAGCAUUUUAGUUUGCUUGCAAACUGAAGAUGGCGACCGGCGCACGGGUGAGUAACACGUAUCCAACCUGCCGAUAACUCCGGAAUAGCCUUUCGAAAGAAAGAUUAAUACCGGAUGGCAUACGAAUAUCGCAUGAUAUUUUUAUUAAAGAAUUUCGGUUAUCGAGUGGGGUAGGUGUCGGUUCCCUACUUUAAG